UCAAGACUUUCGUUUGCAGUAUGCUAAGUAUGGAACUUAUGUUAGAUAUUUCAAUGGCAAUGUCAAGUAAGCAGUUGGAAAUGGAAGCUAAGUUUCAGGGAAUGGAUUAUACUUAAUCCAUGGGAUCAACUAAAAUCACCUGGCAAGUGUGUGUAGCUACACAAGAGAUCUGAAGAAAAUAAGGAAAUUUCAGCAAGAUACAAAGAAAUGAUGAAAAUAGGUAGCCUGCUAAAAAAGAAUCUCAGUAGAUAAAGUCCUGAGAAAACUGAUUUGAUUUUCAAUGUGGAGGUCAUUUUUGACUUUAAUGAGAUGGUGGAAGGAUGGAGAGGUUAUCUUUGGUGUUCCUGUUUUCCAUAGAAUUAAGAGCAAAGAAAUUAUAUAAGAGUUAGGAGGGAAGAGAGGAUUAGGACAGUGUUAGAGAAAGGUGAAAAAUCCUCAUCUAAAAGAGUAGGAAAAUAAUUUUAAUUUGGCAUUUUCAUGGAGUUCCAGGCAACCUUAUCUCUACCUUUGAGGUCUAUGGUCAUGUACUUAAACUGAGACCACUAUGACUCCAAGAUUGUCUUUAGCAACUUUCAGGUGCUCAGGUAAAAGUAGGAAGUAGGUGAAAACUGUAAGUUAACCAGAGUUAGACUCUUACCAAGUUAGUAUACUUAAGGGAAAGGAGGAGAAAGAAGUAUUGAUGAACCAUGGAAUCUAAACAGGGUAAGAAUAAAAAAAAAUAUGAAGGAGAUGAUGGAGAAAAAAAUUCAAUAGAUUAGAGGUUCCAGUGAGGCAAAUAAUUGUUGAAGUUGGGAUAAAGAGGACCCAACACUAUCUUAAUUAUGGAGAGCGGGGUAUUAGAAACAGCCUGGAAAGAUUGUAGUUAUUGGUAAUAACAAGCGGUUACUGAGUCAGGUUGUUUUGCUGAUGACAGACUGUAAGUUUCUCAGGGCAAAGUGAAAGAGUAUCUGAAAAUGAGAGAGGAGUGGGAAAACAUGUUAGAUGAAGGAUUAUAUGGAAAUAUAAGGGACUUAGAUUCAUAGUCUUGUGAUUUCUGAAGGCAAACAUAGGCUGAGGAACUCUUAAUAGUGUUUUCAGGAGUGAUAAUCAGAUCUAAUUAGAGCCUCCUUCUAAGUCAGUUGUUCGCAGCCUUGACUGCGCAUUAGAGUCACCUGGAGGAACGUAAGGCUUUCCAAUGCCCAAGUUUCACCCUAAACCACUUAAAUUAAAAUCUCUGGGGGUGGGACCCAGAAAUCAGAAUAUUUUAAAGCUCUUCAGAUGAUUGCAAUUUGCAGUCAAGGCUGAGAGCCAGGUCUUCUCCUCUCUGAGGUCAGAAGCAGCAGCAAGAAGUUUUGAUUCUAGAGCCUGGGCUCUGCAUGCUAUGAUAGAACACCUCCAGCUCUGUUUGCAUGUAAGGUUUUCUGGUGGUCCACUCCACAAAGAAGCUAUUUAUAUUUCCACAUCUUCCAGAAGUAAAGAAACUGCCUUCUCCAGUAAAAUCCCCAAGGUGAAUCUGCCAACGUUACUUAGGUUUGUAAUGCAUGCUUUCUUACUACUUCCUCAUUUGUGAAAACUUUUUUCAUAGCACUUAAGGACAGGGCUGAAUGUAGCAGAAUUGGAUGCUACUAAAAUAUUCAACUGAUUCAGUCCACCAUGGCUAGAAAAUGAAUUUUUAUAAAUACAGAGCAGCACAAUUCUAUCAUCACUCACAUGGCAGUCUUUCUCAAUUGGUGGUAGAUAGAACCCAACAAAUAUUUUUGUUAUAUCAAGUCUGUCCAUAUGACCCAUCACAUAUACUAUGAGAAAACUCUAGCACUGUGGAUAGAUUUCUCUGUUAUUAAAAAUGUUGUAAUCUCAGAUAAAUUACCUAACCUCUUGAGACUCAGAGUAAACAUUUAUAAAAAGUAAGUUAAGUUAAAUGAGCCUCAAGGUUUAUUUGAUUUCAACAAUUCUGUGUUUUUGUGAUCUUGCCUUAAACACUAUAUUCUCCAGUUAUCUGUAAACCAUCUUUGAGCUGUGAGGGCUCAGUACAUAUUGCAUUGUUGGAUGAAUAGAUGUUUGAAUGCAAAAAUAAAUUAAUAGAGAUGGAUAGAGGGACAGAGACAUAAUUAUUUACAAAGUAGUUUUCUUACCUAGAAGAAAUAUAUAUAUUAAUUCAGCUUUUAUAUUUUUAUCCCAUUACACAUACUUUCCUCAAAUACAGCUUUAAAAAAAAAACUUUUUACUAUAAAAUUUAAAUACAAAAGGGAAAAAAAUUACAAUGAAUGCCCACAUACCUAAUCACCCAAGUCAAAAGUAUCGACUAGCUACCAUUCUUUACCUAUCUUUACCACUUUUUAUAUUAAAAUAAAGCAAAUCUCAGAGAUAUCAUCUCACUCAUAAAUAAAAGUUAAACCACAUUGAUGAUAAAUUCUGCUUUCCAAUUUAACUAUAGAAACUGUAACACUUUAGCUGAAUUGCUGGUGGUUCACCCAUUAUUUUCUGCUUAUUUUAAAUGUCAGAAUCCUAGAAAAAAACUCCUUAAAAAUUUAAACAUUUACACAGUAUUUGUACUUUCAGAGGGAUAUGAGAGGGGUAAGAAUGGUUAGCCUGUAAUUUUCAUCAAUUCUACAAACAAUUCAGUUAGAGUGUAAACUGAAGAAGAAACUCAUAAAGAUUCAGGAGAGGAAUGUGGAAUAAAUUCCUGAAUCAGAUCAUCAUUAUAAUAUUUACAUUUUUUACUUGAUUUAAAUUCCAUACAUGAAGACCAGCUAAGCUCCACAUCCAACUUAACAACACACAACACAUUUUCAAAGUUAAUUAUAAAUAUUUAAAAUUCACCUACAUUUUAUAAAUGAUCAUAUUUCUGUCCCUAUUUAUCACAAAGGAAAAGAGUAAAAUUAAUUAAACUCUGUGUGUAUACUUUUUCCUUUCCCUACUCCUCCACACCCUUAUCUGUCUAUCACCCUUUCUUGGGAUGAUUUUAUUUGCAGCCCCAAAUUUUGGUUAAAUAUCAUCAAUCAUUAAAACAUGCCUAAAUCCCCAUUAAAUUCAGACACAUCCUUUUCUUAUUGAUUUCUAAAUUGUCUUUGAUGAACUAAUUAAUGUCUUCCUAAACUACACAGAUCACACAAUAGCAAAUGAAAUGGACUUAGAUUUAUAUUUCAUUGUAAAUCUAGCUUUCCAGCCCAUCUGAUAUUAAAUUGCCAUUCCUAAGAAGAAUACCUUCAACAUUUCCUCAAAGAUCAUUGCUCAAAAAUCCUAGGGUUUUUAUUUUUGUUUAUUGUUUUCAUCAAACUCUUAGAUAAAUAAGAAACAGGGAAAGGAAAAUUAAUUUGAAAUAAAUUUCAGAUGGAUCAAAGGUAGAACCAAAUAAGUAGGUUUAAAACUACAAAAUAUUCUGAAGAUGAUACGGAAGAGUAUUUUUAUAACAUCAGUGUAGGAAAAGAUUUCUAGAUAAGAUACAAAAGUUAUAAACCAUAAACAAAACAACUGAUAAAUUUGGAUAAAAAUUAAGAACUUCUCAUUAAAGACAAUUUAAAGUUAA